AUGUCACUUGGAUUUUAGUGGCUGAGCUGGAUAAAAACAGGAUAUUUAAAGUAGAAAGUGGGGAGCAGUGUGGUGUGUAGUAGGGUAAGCGUGGGCUUUUGUUGUCAGAAGUCAGUUGUGACCUCACCACUCACUCUGUUUGAACCUCAGAUUCCUUACUUGUAAGACAUGGAUAAUUGUCCUGAGACCUACCAGAGGUGGCCGAUCUGGCCGACCACGUGCCCUGGAGACGGGAGUGACUCUAAAGCAAGCUGAACAGGCUGUCGAGGACCCGGCCAUAAGAAAAGGCCCCUCUACCUUUGCCAGGAGUUGCCUGAGGGGACGCCUGUAAACGAGGCCCAUGGUUUCCUCCAAGCACAACUUGGAGUCGUCUCUGUCCUCAGGAGCAAUGAUGGCCCCAAAUUCCUGCCCCAUAAAGGAAAGGCUGCAGAUUUUUCACCUGGAAUAUUUAAAGCUGGCCUAAUGACACGCACACCUCUGACACCCAGCCAGAUUGCUGAUUCAUUCCUCUGCAUCCUCUAAACCAGGGGUCCCCAACCCCCGGGCCAUCCACAGCCUGUUAGGAACUGGGCCACACAGCAGGAGCUCUCACUGAGUUCGUCCGUUCUUCUCCCAAUUUGGUAUAUCAGCUGUAUCUCCUGGUCUUGAAAGAAUGGCUUUACAUAGAAAGUGCCCUGUGGAGUUCAGUGGCACAACCCUCCUCACCGCCACCCCAGUCACCAGAGCCAGAAGGAGGAGAGGCCAGCAGUAACCUAUCAUCAAAUCCUAGUGUGACAUGAAACUCUCGGUGUCCUUUUAUUACCCUCGGCAACUUUCCUAGGCUCAGAUCAAAUUACUGAGGAAUUUCUCCAAAUUUCCUACCACCCAUUUCUGUCUCCUCUAAAAGUAGGCCAAAAAACCCAGGACUGUCCAGAGGCGCACUGCAAACACGGAUAAACCUGGAAACCAGUACGCGAAGUGAAAGGAGCCGGACACAGAAGACCACAUAUUGUUCAUCCCGUUUAUAUGAAAUUUCUGCAAAGAGGAGAUACUAUGGAUAUGGAAAGCAGAUCAGCGGUUUCCUAGAGGCUGUUGGGAACAGGGAAUGAGUAUAAAAGAGCAGGAGGAAAAUUUCCAGGGUGAUGGAGUUAUCCUAAAACUGUAUUGUAGUGAUGGCUGCAUAGCUGUGUAAGUGUAGUGCAAUUCAUCAAAUUACGAAUUUUAUGAUAUGUAAAUUAUACAAUAAAGCUA